UAAAUUUUGAUUUUGUUUUUGAUCAAACCUUAACUGCUACAACAUUACCUUAAGUACACAUAUACAGCAUUGUUACUUAUGCAACUAAGAUGCACAACUCUAAUAUAAAUGCGUUUUAUAGUCUAAUGUUUAAAAUGUGACUAUUAAACUUAUUAUUUGUGUUACAAUUUUGUAAGCAGCUUGAAG